UACGUAGGGUGCGAGCGUUAAUCGGAAUUACUGGGCGUAAAGCGUGCGCAGGCGGUUUCGUAAGCCAGAUGUGAAAUCCCCGGGCUUAACCUGGGAAUGGCAUUUGGGACUGCAAGGCUCGAGUGCGGCAGAGGAGACUGGAAUUCCUGGUGUAGCAGUGAAAUGCGUAGAUAUCAGGAGGAACACCGAUGGCGAAGGCGGGUCUCUGGGCCAUAACUGACGCUGAGGAGCGAAAGCGUGGGGAGCGAACAGG
rnacentral:rRNA from 1 species